GGAGCUUGCUCCUUGGGUGACGAGUGGCGGACGGGUGAGUAAUGUCUGGGAAACUGCCCGAUGGAGGGGGAUAACUACUGGAAACGGUAGCUAAUACCGCAUAACGUCGCAAGACCAAAGAGGGGGACCUUCGGGCCUCUUGCCAUCGGAUGUGCCCAGAUGGGAUUAGCUAGUAGGUGGGGUAACGGCUCACCUAGGCGACGAUCCCUAGCUGGUCUGAGAGGAUGACCAGCCACACUGGAACUGAGACACGGUCCAGACUCCUACGGGAGGCAGCAGUGGGGAAUAUUGCACAAUGGGCGCAAGCCUGAUGCAGCCAUGCCGCGUGUAUGAAGAAGGCCUUCGGGUUGUAAAGUACUUUCAGCGAGGAGGAAGGCGUUGUGGUUAAUAACCGCAACGAUUGACGUUACUCGCAGAAGAAGCACCGGCUAACUCCGUGCCAGCAGCCGCGGUAAUACGGAGGGUGCAAGCGUUAAUCGGAAUUACUGGGCGUAAAGCGCACGCAGGCGGUCUGUCAAGUCGGAUGUGAAAUCCCCGGGCUCAACCUGGGAACUGCAUCCGAAACUGGCAGGCUAGAGUCUUGUAGAGGGGGGUAGAAUUCCAGGUGUAGCG
rnacentral:rRNA from 1 species